AUGCGAUUUCCCCCCUCUGGCACUCUGAUCUGCAGCGGUGCUGCUUCUGCCGGUCGCCUGCACGGGGCUGCUGCUGCCGGUCAUCACGUGAGGAGCACGUCUCCUGUAGCCGCGGCUACCUGGCCACACAGCAGCGGCGACAGGAUGGUGGCGGCAAAGGGGCGACGAGCUCUAGCGCCCGCUCUAGGACUCCACACCGCCAAGGUGGCGAGCUCCUCCGUCCGCUCUAGGACUCCACCGCCAAGGGGGCACGCCCUUGCAUCCGGGAGGUGCUCGAGCUUGUCAAAGUGCCCGCCGUUCCGAUUAAGUUAUCGCGGCCUAGGUGAACCAUUAUGUUUUGCUGCAUUUGGCCCAUUGGCGACGUCAGCAUUCCACUUCUCAAACAGCUGCAGAAGCAUUUCAAGCGGGACUGCGCUCCUCCCUAUCACCAAAACAGUCAUAGCUUCAUCCAUCCUUGUUGGGUUGACAACUACCCUGAUACUCUUCUGCAACCACUUUCAUCAGGACUACCUACCUAGCAGCAGCAGCAGAGGCUGUGCGAGUUCGUUUGGUCGAGUCAGAAAUACCAGUUGCAGGUGGUCGAUGCAGCAGCAGCAGUAA
rnacentral:rRNA from 1 species